AUAAUAUAUGCUAAAAAAAAGGUGUUUUAAUAGCUUAUUAAUCUAUACAAUAUAUAACUUCCCCUUUAAACAAUACCAUUUACUUCUGCUCCAUAUCUUCCCAGAGUUGCUUCAUCUUCUACUUGGUGGACUACAAGCCCCUCAGGUUUAAAUGGUGGUACGUGUAGCCAGACUGGGCCUUUGCACUGGGCUGGGCCAUGGCCCUCUCCUCCAACCUCCUGGUGCCACUGUGAUCGAUUGGCAGGAUCUAUGUUGGCACAGGCCGCCUCAGGCAGGAAGGUGAGAAGAUAUACACACGGCGAAUGGAAGGAGAAAGUCUCCCAUGUCUCUCAUUUUACAAGCUUCCAGUUCCCUUAGAUGUAGCAGCAGAAAAUGGUGUUGUCCUCAAAGGGAGUUUUUGUUUUUGCACAAGACAUGAUUAUAUACAAAAUAAACACCACUUACACAAGAAUAGACAAUUAUUUAAAUUUCUUUAAUAAAAUGACAGUUUCAAUAAGUCACACAAUCUCACCGGUAUAGUGAAAAACAAGUCAUAUUCUACUCAUAGGCCUACAGAAUGAAGACAUUUUACUGUUGAAAAUGAGAGAGAAAAUGUUUGUUAUAAAACCCCACUGUUCACUGUAACCUAUUACAUGCCCUUACGGACUUAGGCUAUUGGAUAAUGAUAAUUUAAAAUGGUUAGGAUAGUUCACACUCUCACUGGAUUAGUGAAGGCCAUGUCCCAUACCACUCAUACACUAAGGCAUUUUUUAUUGUGGAAAUUAACAUUUGGGCUAGUCGUUUUGAAAUUCUUGUGGUAAGGUGCUGUGUCUCUGUAUAGGGCAAUGGCGAAAGUGUGUUGUAGAUAUUGGGGUGGAC
rnacentral:lncRNA from 1 species